rnacentral:lncRNA from 1 species
CUCCCAGAUAAGCAACAUGUCCUGUCGCUAACACAAACCAGCACAUCGUAAAUUGUGUCCAGUGAUGGUAUGUCCAAAAUUCAGUGCUUUUUGAAGUCUGCAGCUCCAGUAGGGUUGGUGGGGGGAGCUGAAGACCAUGUGGAGUGUGGUCCUAGCUGAAAGUCAUCUAUCAAUCAUCCAACGAUAACCAACCAACAAGGAAUUUAUGGGGUAGAAAAGUUACUACAACUCAUGACAUCACAACCAAUCACCAACUACGAUUAGCUGAUUUUAAAAGGUGUCACUUUACUCUCUCUCGGUACUCUCUCUCAAAUGAGACCUGGCAACCUCAUCUGGCUUCUCAACUAUGUGACAGUAGAACAAUUGUUGAAGCCACAGGAAACACCAGGCUGAGUGAGAAUGAGUACAUAAAAGGAAUUCUGCCACACUUGUUCUGCAACAAGAGAAAUCCUGUGGCUCACAAACCAAUGCGGGAGGACAUUGAGCAUGGUGGCAGCACCCCAGCUCAGCUUCUUCUCCCACGCAUGUCCAAUCUGCUUCCUCUGACUCAUCGGUAAAGGUCUCCAAGAUAUCAAAAACAGUAAGUAAUAUAGCUAUUUU